rnacentral:lncRNA from 1 species
GGCCAAGUAGGACAGGAGGAGGAGGAGCCCUGGCUACUCCACAGCGAGGGGCUGCCUCCCCCUCGCAGGCCCGGGCUGUGCCCAGGGCGGGACGCGAGUUCUGCUACGAAAACUCCGAAUUAAACGGCUCCGGGCAGGAAGCCGCCUUUUCUCCCAGAAGGUCAGGAAGUCACGACGCAAGUUUGCGCUUUUCUUCUUCAAUUCGAAGGAGGAAAGAGAUCGGCGCUCCCUUCUCCCCGCGGCCCCUCCCGGGGCGCACGCCCCGCCCGCGCCCCCGCGUCGGAAUGCGCGCCCUGACUCCACGCGGCGCCCGGGCGGACGGCGGACGGCCCGGGCCCCCACUCACCGGCCAGCAGCGAGCCAGGCAGCAGCAGCCAGUAGAGCGCGGCGCCGAGCACGUGCGGCUCCAUGGGGCCGAGGUCGCCGCCGGCUACCGGGACUCGCGGGCGCUCGGGGCCCUGCGCGCCAUGGCGCCGGACGGCGGGGCGCACGUGGGGCGGCGGGGUGCCCGCUCCUCCUGCUCCUCCCGCUCCUCCCGCUCGUCCUGCUCGUCCGCCGGCUGCAAGCCCGGCUGGGCGCACCUCAGCUCCGCGCUCCCGCCUGCCCGCUGACCCGGGCUUUAUAAGCCCGCCCCCCUCCCGGUCCCGCCCCGCGCUCCCCACGGCCGGCCCGGCCCCUCCUGCCCGCCCCGCCGCGCCGGCCCCAUACCCCCGACCCGGGACCCGGCUCCGGCCCUGCGCCCCGAGUGUGCAGGCGGUGGACGGGCGCGUAGACACAGACUCCCCGGCCUGACCACCCCGCUGCCCCCACGCGCAACUGCGGCCCGCGUGGCCCGAGCAACUUUCGCUUUGAUCCCGAGCGGCGAGGACGCAGCGCCCCCUGGGGACCGUGGGUGGCUCGGGGCUCCCGCCAGCGCCUGGUGGUUAGGGUGGAGGAGGCUGGACGGCUCAGCCGCCAGCUUGCUGAGUCCAGUGCGGUCUGAGCUGGGCCUUGGGCUUGUUGAUACCUUUGCCUCGGACGGUGGUGACCGCAGCCGCAGCAGAGCACCUUGCCGUCCCCUCCAGUGGAGAGGCCAGGUCUGAGCCCACCUCGCCCGGGCCACCAAAGUUGGGCUCCAUCCACCGGUGAAGUGGGCAGAAAGGAGAAGGAGAAGGGGCCGGACGGCCGGCUGCGCUCAGUCCACGAUGCCAGACUCAGACUCGGCUGCGGCGGGAGCAGGGCCUUGAGGAUCAGGAGCGACUUGGAGCCCUGACCGCCAGCUUUUCCCUUUCCCGAAAGCCAGAAACGCAGACCUCCUGGGAAGCCUGGCUUUGAUCGCUGGCCAGCUCGAGAGUGAGAGGAGAGCGGAGUCUGUCUGCGUCCAAAAUGUUCCUGCAAAGUGAGAAGGCGGCCGGCUCCCUGCAGAGCUCUUCAAAGGUGGGGAAUGUGUGUCCAGAGAUUUUUAAAGUAGCAGAGGAUGAAUAACUCCAGCAGCCAGUGCUAAGUAGCGGCUACAGAGAAUCAAGCCUAAACGCCGCGGGAUACAAUGUUUGGACCCAGCAAGGCCUGGCCUCCCUGCAGCCCCCGCUCCUGCCGGGAGCCUUCCCAGAGCAGGCUGGGGAACAGACUCCUCGACUCCCGCUGGCCCUGGCCCUCCGCGGGGGUCCACUCCCCUUGGGCCAUGUAAAGAAGCCUGGUGUGCCUGGGGAGCUUGGGCAGGAGCAGAGAAGGGCGGGGCCCCUCCCUUCCCCCGUGAGGGGUGAGGGUCCCAGGCGGCCACACCCUGCCUUGCUGUCCAAGCACCUAGGGCCUGCCACACCUCCCUGGGGAUGCCAGUUCCUCCUUAUCUUUUAUUUACCCACUUCUUUAUUUUUGCAGUGCUGGGGAUUGAACCCAGGACCCAGGGGCCAUGAGCUCCACCCCAGCCUUUUUUAAAAAAAAUUUAAGACAGAGUCUCACUAAGUCACUAAGCUGCCCAGGCUGGAUUUGAACUUGUGAUCCUCCUGUCUCCGCCUCCCAGAGCACCGGGAUCACAGGCAUCUGCCACUGCACCAGGCUCCCUCCUGUUCCUGAACACUUGGGGACUCCCUCCCCUGAGGACCCUUAAAAGCUGUGCAGUCACCACCCUGGGCUGUGGCACCUAAGGUGUCUGGAUGUCUCUCUGGGCUCUAACCAGCAAUCCCCCAAGUCUGGGGGCCCCUGGGGCUCUGACUCAGAUGCUCCCCAGGGCCCACCCACCACUUAGCGCCCCCACAGAGGUGCAGGGUCUGGCUGUGCUCACAGGCAGUGAGGCCCUUGGCCACCCCACAGUGCCCGCUUCCCCGAGCUCCGUGCUCAGUGGGAGGCAGAGCUGCCCCUUGGAAGGGCGUGUGGUACUCACAGGGCCAUGGAGGCAGCAACCCUGGUGGCCUCCCUGGCCUGCCCGGCCCUGCACCUCGAGCUGCUUCCCGCAGUGCCUGUGCCCAGACUCCUGGUCCUUGCCGGGCUGGAGUGUGGCUCAGUGGCAGAGCUCUGGCCUGGCAUGCUUGGCCCUGGGUUUGAGAGAGCGGGGGCAAGGAAGAUCGGUUAUCCUCGAGGUGCAGGAUGAGGACCAGACCCCUUGUCCAGGGCGCUGGCCACGCCUGCUCCCCUGACCCCUCCACCCUGGCUGCCGGGGCCUGCCCCUCACCCCGUCCGAGCGGGGCUUGCCGAUGGAGUUCAUCCUUAUCAGAAGAAACACCUGACCACCCGGGAACGGCUGCAGGCAGCAGAGCCUCUCGCACAGGACCUUCAGGAGCAGAGCGGCACCUGACGGCUCCGCCCAAGAUAGGGCAAGCACCCGGCCUCCCUGGCACCUGUGCUGCUGUGGGAGUCGCCCCUGAGCCCAAGACCUGACCCGUGUGGCAGUGGAGGGUGGCAGCCCUGGGGCCCGAGGCGCUCAGCAGGGGCGUGUGGAGGCUUCACGGGCUCAGGACAGACCCACGGCCAGGAGGAUCACUUCGAAUUUGAGGCCAGCCUGGGCUAUAUAUAGCAAGAACCUGUCUCAAAAAACAAACUAACAAACAAAAGAGAACUUUCAGGGCUCAUCAGUAAGAAGCAUGGGCACAGUUUAUUAGGGAGAAAUUCAAAAGUACAGGAGGCAGUGAGAGAAGAGGAAGAGAAAGGCGGGGGGGACUGACCUUAUUUUCUGGAACUGGGGACAUUUAUGCUUCUCCUGAGGCUGUGGAAACCCGGGAGGAAGGUGGCCCACCCCCAGGGCCUGCUCUUUGCUUUCUUGAUUAAGCCAAUUAAUGGCCUGUCGUGUCCUGCGGAAUUUUGGCCGGGAACUGGACAUAGAUGCUGAGUGACUUCGACUGGGUUGGAAGCUCACUCUUCCUGCAGUCAGGACUUCCGCUGUCCUUUCUGCCUCUCUAGCUGCUCCCCACCUCACACCCAGCCCCCAGAGCCCUGCUUCUGGGCGGUGCUCGCUGGGUGCCAGGCCUGGGCACGUCCUGCCUGCUGUUCCCAGGCUCUGGGGGCUGCCUGUCUCCAGCACGGCCUGACGCUGGUGAAGCCUGUGUGGAGGCGCUGGGUCUCGGGGCCAGCAGCUGACCUGCGGGCCCUUGGAGCUGGGGCUGGAGCCGGGGUGCAGGUCAUGGCAGCAGUCACCAGGCAGGUCGCGUGCCCUUGACCCCUUCCUGGGCUCACCUCUCGUCAGGUUGGUUCCUGGGGAUGACACAAAGUCCCACGGGCACAAAGACCUUGCAGGGCUUCUCCCUGGAGCGUCACCAGCCUGUCCCAGACCUUGGAGGCUGAAUCCCACCCUUCUCCAGCCCUGGGUGCCGAGCCACCCAGCCACAUCCCCAGGCUUGCUUAUUUUCAAUUCGAGACCAGGCUUCCCUGAGCUGCCCAGGCUGGCCCCGAACUCGCACUCCCUCCUGCUCCGGGCUCUGGAGUAGCUGGGAUUGCGGGUGUGCACCUGUGUCUGGCUCACAGGUGCCCCUGAGAGGCAGUACUGGCCUGCUCACCUUAAAUCACCCCUCCAAGCUCCCAACACCCUGGGCUCCAUAGCACAGCCUGUGGUGGCCGCUCAGUGAGCGCUGGGGGUGACGUCUCACCAGCCGAGUCCUCCUGCCCUCCGAGGGGGUUGGCUCACCCCUGGCUGGGCACAGACCUUCAGAGUCAUCCCAAGAGGGCACCACAAGGAGGCCUGCUGGAGGGAGACACCCGCACGGCGGGGGGGCACAGGGGCCCCGGGCCGGGACACACACUCGAUCGCGAAGACUCAGUCACUAGCACCCAGUGAUUGUGACGAUGAGGUGGGAUGGAGAUGAUGGUGGUGGUAAUUAGGAAGACAGCGAUGAGAAAAAUGCGAAAUACUAACCAACUUCAUAUUAACUAUGUGCUAAGAGACAACAUGCUGAAUGUAACAGGUAAAAUCAACAGUAUUGAAGUUGUUGUGCCCGAUUUUGGGGGGUACCGAGGAUUGAACUCAGGGCCUCGCACUUUCGAGGCAGACCCGGUGCCAUGGAGCUAAGCCCCCUGGCCCUCCUAUUCUUUCUCAGUAGCCACCACCUUCCAUGUCACCAUUGGACACAGCAGGGCUGGGUGCCCUUGGUGGGACUGGGGCGACGUGAGCCCUCUCCACUCGGACUCUGAGCCAGGUGUGCCGAGGGCUGUGCGGGCAGCAUGGAGAGAGUGGGCGGCACAGGCCCCUCCAGGCCUGAGCAGGCUCCAGGGGCUCCUGGCACAGACAAGGGAAGCGGGGGCCUGGGAGAGGCGGGGUCCUGGGUCACUCCCACGGGCAGCGGCAGCAGCCUCUCUGACCUCCCCCGGUGCCGGUCCGUGCAAGGGUCCAAGGCUGUCUGGCAGGUGCUGGUCAAGGCCCAGGUGCUCCCCACAGCUUGGUCACAGCCGAGGCCCUGAAAAGCUCCCUUGGGCUGCAGGUGACCGAUGGCUCUGGGGGACCUGGUGCGGGCCAAGCUCCCCAGCUGUGCCCCUUGAGUCCCCUCCUCUUCUCUGCCCACGCUGGGGACUGAGAGGCUCACUCUGAGGGAGGCUGGGAAGGCGUCCGGCCCCGGAGCACACGGUGCACCUCACAGAGGCGCCAAGAGGCCCCCACAGGGGGAUGCUGGCAGACGCGGUAGUGGUCAUCACGGGCCUGAGUGAACGGCACCAGGACGCAGCAGGCGAGGGGACUUCGAGUCACUCACACUGAGCAGCAGUAGCACUGGGCGGGAGACUCGGGGGACCAGGAUGGGCUUGAGAGAAGUUGGGGAGGACAGCAUGAGGUGUGGGUCCAACUCAGGACCUCUGGCAAUUCUGUCCACUUGAGCACAGAUAAGACAGCGGUGACGGUGACAGUGCUGAUCGUGUGGAUGGUGGCAGUGAUGGUGAUCAUGGCAGUGACGAUGGUGGCUUCCCGUUCUCAGCCUGGUACACAGCUGCCUCUCAGUGCCCUGACCCAUAGUGGGCCCUCAGAAGCCAGUCUCCUGGUGGGCACUCGUCAAUUCUCCUUUUCUGUGGGGCAGUCCUCGGGAUGGAACCCUGGCCCCUAUGCGUGCUAGCUAGGCGAACCCCGUGCCAGACCCACACUCCCAGUCCCGACACGGACUCUCGCCCCUCUGCCAUCAGUCUCCCCUGAGGACUCCUACCAGACUGUGCGCUCUGGGCACUCCACACCCAUAGUCACGAGGACCUUGUGGGUGGGACCUGGACCAGGUGAGCAGCCAAGGGUGUUCACCUUCUCUAUUCUACACUGUGUAUUUCUAUUAAUGUGGCCUUAUAUGGAUUUACCUUUAUGACCAUGCUUUAAUCAAG